GGGAGGGUUAUGGAUAGAGGAGAAAUGACAGCACAGUAUAUGGACACGGGGGUGCAGAUCUCAGUGUCACAAUGGGGUGACACUGUGGGCACCGCUCUGGGGUUGAUGCUGGGGGGACAUUGGAAUGAUGGGGGGUGAUGGGGGCGGUGAUAUCAUUAUAUAAUUAGGGUGAUAUAAUAGAAAUGCUUAGUCAUGGUUGGAAGCCAUGAUGGGGCGGAGACACAGCAGUACAGCCCAAGUGCAGGCAACGCAUCCGAUUGGCUGCAGGGCUGGCUCCGCCCCCUCCUGGUGCUCAUAUAAGGGCUGGCACUGUGGGGCAGCAGGUAUUUGCUGGAGCUCCUCGCUGUGGUCACAUCUACCCACAUGAAGAAGCUCUUCUGCUCUGUUGCUGCCUUGGACCAAGAGCUGCUGGAUGGAGCUGCAGGACUUGGCUUCUCCACCAUCACAUUGCUCGGCCUAGAACAGCACUACAGGAGGAGGAUGAGGAAGGCAGAGGACAGCCUUUGCAAGGAGGUGCUGGAUGAGGAAGAGCUGUGAGCCACGCAGGGCCCCUGUGCUCCAAGGAGUGAUGAUUGCACGGCUGCUGGACACAGGGCUGAAGAGCAGCUGCUGGUGCUAUGAGCAUCCUUUCCCUGCAGGGAUGUUACCAUGGAGGUGCUCAGUCCCCGCAGUCACGCAGCCAGUGGCAUCAGAGGUGCGCUCCCUGGGACUGGGAGGGGGCUUUCCCAUCAUCCCGAGUCCUGGCACAGGAAGAAGCAGUUCAAGAGGGGCUGAGUGCCACAGAGGCUGCCCCUGCUAAAAUUCAGUUUUGUUUUUUUCCUUCUUGAGAUUGUUUCAAAAUUGUCCUCAAACCUUAUUGCACAAAACCUUUGAAGUACAGCCCCUGUGCAAAUAAAAGAAAACUCCAUCACAGAAUGCAAAUGCCUAAGAAUGCCAGUUCAGCACUGCACACAGGAUGCGAUGUAAUGUCUUUGGUACCAAUCUGCCCAUUUACUUCAUGGAAAACCACCACCACCAGAGACCCUGCUGUCAUUAAGAACUGGAUGCAAAAUUAUGUUCAGAGUGUUUUAAUAACAAAGCAUUCCAAGGCAAGUUAACACAGAUCACAGGGUAUGUCUUCGGUUCCUGUCCGGCAAUGGCAUAUAUUGCAGUUCAAACAAAGCAUAAAAGAAAACCUCCCCCUCUUUCAAGGCAUGUUGCAGAGUCCCCAGAGUCCAUGCUGCUGUCCAUGCCUCACCAGCAAAGCGCCCAUCUCACCAGAUGUGGGUUUUUUUUGUUUGUUUUCAUAAUAUCCUCAAUAACUUAACCCAAUAGUCAUCUGCUGCCAGUAUAUCACUGAAACUAAAUAGGAAAAAAUACUUUACAUGAAAGAUGUAUGCACAAUAAACGCUUUACCUUAAGCAACCAGCCAUACCAACAUAAAUUAUAUAUAUAUAUGUAUAUAUAUAUAAAUUGUCAUCCAGCUAACAUCUAGUAUAAAGAUGGCUGCUCAGAAAAAAGGAGGCUGACUGGCACAGAUGGCAAUACGCCAUCACUGGGAAUUGCCAUUAUGCAGUCAGGAGCCGCUGCAGAUGCAGGACCAUAAGAUUUUUAUUUUAUUUUUACUUUAAACAAAAUACAUAUGGCUGACAUAAAAAUAUCAGUUUCUGAUCUAAAGAAAACUAGACUUUUUUUUUUUUCUUGCAUAAUAUUUAUCUAUAAUCAUUUCCCCCCUCCCCCCCUAAUAUGGAAACUAGAACAAUAAAGUAUCAACUAACAAACAACCAGACCCCUAUGGCAACCUGCUGGUCACAGGCCUCUGGGAGGGAAUUAAGCGCCUCCAGAGUUGGCUUUGUGAUGUUUUUCAUUGGUUUAAGUCUUUUUUUGGUUUUCUGUUUGUUUUUAAAUAGGUCCGAGGUAACAAUAAUUAAAAAAAUAAAAAAUAAAAAGGAAAAAGAAAUAGAAAAGAAAUAGCACCCUCCCUCCCCCAACACAUAUAAUAAAUAUUUAUGUAAGCCUCUAAGUUUUUGUUUGUUUGUUUGUUUUUGCAAGUAUUUAAAAUAGAAAAAAAGUGAUCUUUUGAGCAAUGUCACCUUCAAUUCCAAACCAGACCCCAUGAGCACCCCUUCCCCUCCACUACUAUACAGCCUGGCACGCUGCACCCUGUCCUGCCCACAGCGUUCAUCUCAUCUGCAGAGGAAGGGGAGGACAGCAACAGGUUUGUCUGUACGGGCAGGGCUGGUGUCUCAACACUGAAUUUGUAACAGAGAUGGGCAGUGGUGGCAAUUUCUCCUUGCUGCUGGCAGUGUACUGAGCCCAGCCUUCACCCCCCCCUUUGCCACGCCAGGCAGGGCAGCAGGGCCUGACCUCAGCACCUGGGUCCUUCCCUCCUUCUACCCCAAGGAAGGAAUGAGUCAGUGCUGGGCUGGGAACAAAACAAAGACACGUGGUUUUUGCUGUUGUCAUUAAGGAACACUUAUUUCUUGGCAAAGUAGUGGGCCCUCGCAUGGCAGGCAGUGCUGCAGGCAGUGCUCGGAGAAGGCACGGGAAAUUCUGCUGUGCGUUCUUAAAGGAAAGAAAAGAGGAAACCAGCCAGCCUAACCAGCCAGCCCGCCCUCUCAGACACCUACAGGGACAGAGGCCAGGCAGACAGCACAGCUAGUUACCGCCAUGUUCUCUUUGCUUCCAACACAAACCAACUGGGACAAGGGACAGAAAGCAGCAGAGCCCUUUUCAGCCCUGCGCACUGGGGGACAACAACCGAAGGUGCACUCGCAGGGAAAGAAACUAAGCCCAAGCAAAGCAAAAUCCUGCCUCCUGCUCUGGCCCGCUCUUGGCUUGGCAAGAUGGCUAGAGCCAGGAUACAUGGGACAUCUGCUCCACAACUCAAGGCUCUCGCCCUGCAGAGGAACAGUUACUAUAGACCAGUGGGAGGCAGGACACAGGGUGAGGAGACGACCUCCAGUAAGCAGCAAGCAAAGCUCACAGCACUUCUGCUGGAAGAGCUGCAGCUGACCAACCAAUCCAACACCAGCAUCAGCUGCAGGAGUGUGGUGGAAACCAACAGGCCCUCCCCGUGGCCACGGAGAUCCCUUCCCUUUUAGGGCACAACCCAACUUGUCCUUCUUAUGACCUGAGAGCUGCCCCAAGCACAUCAACCACACUUAUCCUCCAUUCACACUUCGGAAGUGAGAUGCAGAGCUGGUGGGUACAGCUGGAGCAUCCUCUGGGUUCCUUGGCAGCCAACGCUUCCACUGCGAGGCUGAGAAUUACUCAGCCCAGAAGGAGUACAGACAAUCCAAAACAGGCAAAAGUCCCUCUGCUUCUGAUAGCGGGAGCUGCAAAAGGUUCCCAGAGCUCUCGCCAAAAUGUUGCACAGGUGCUCACAAGCAAAAGAGAUGCAUUCCUUCAGCUCCUCCAAAAGAAAGCACCCCAUUUCUCACUGCCAUUUGUUUUUUCUUCACCACGCUUGAACUGCCAUUCACCUCCACCUUACUUCAUGGCAGGGAGGAAAAGAAAAAAAAAAAAA